rnacentral:rRNA from 1 species
GGUUAAGCGACUAAGCGUACACGGUGGAUGCCCUGGCAGUCAGAGGCGAUGAAGGGCGUGCUAAUCUGCGAUAAGCGCCGGUAAGGUGAUAUGAACCGUUAUAACCGGCGAUACCCGAAUGGGGAAACCCAGUGUGAUUCGUCACACUAUCAUUAACUGAAUCCAUAGGUUAAUGAGGCGAACCGGGGGAACUGAAACAUCUAAGUACCCCGAGGAAAAGAAAUCAACCGAGAUUCCCCCAGUAGCGGCGAGCGAACGGGGAGGAGCCCAGAGCCUGAAUCAGCAUGUGUGUUAGUGGAAGCGUCUGGAAAGGCGCGCGAUACAGGGUGACAGCCCCGUACACAAAAGCGCAUAUGCUGUGAGCUCGAUGAGUAGGGCGGGACACGUGGUAUCCUGUCUGAAUAUGGGGGGACCAUCCUCCAAGGCUAAAUACUCCUGACUGACCGAUAGUGAACCAGUACCGUGAGGGAAAGGCGAAAAGAACCCCGGCGAGGGGAGUGAAAAAGAACCUGAAACCGUGUACGUACAAGCAGUGGGAGCCCCACCACUAAGCCAGUGGUGAACUCCACAUACGCAUCCUUUGCUGAGGAGACGGUUAACGGAGCGAAAGCGACGUUCAACCUCAAAAGAAGCAGAGGGGGCUUAGUGGUGGGGUGACUGCGUACCUUUUGUAUAAUGGGUCAGCGACUUAUAUUCUGUAGCAAGGUUAACUGUAUAGGGGAGCCGGAGGGAAACCGAGUCUUAACCGGGCGUUAAGUUGCAGGGUAUAGACCCGAAACCCGGUGAUCUAGCCAUGGGCAGGUUGAAGGUUGGGUAACACUAACUGGAGGACCGAACCGACUAAUGUUGAAAAAUUAGCGGAUGACCUGUGGCUGGGGGUGAAAGGCCAAUCAAACCGGGAGAUAGCUGGUUCUCCCCGAAAGCUAUUUAGGUAGCGCCUCGUGAAUUCAUCUCCGGGGGUAGAGCACUGUUUCGGCUAGGGGGCCAUCCCGGCUUACCAACCCGAUGCAAACUGCGAAUACCGGAGAAUGUUAUCACGGGAGACACACGGCGGGUGCUAAUGUCCGUCGUGAAGAGGGAAACAACCCAGACCGCCAGCUAAGGUCCCAAAGUCAUGGUUAAGUGGGAAACGAUGUGGGAAGGCCCAGACAGCCAGGAUGUUGGCUUAGAAGCAGCCAUCAUUUAAAGAAAGCGUAAUAGCUCACUGGUCGAGUCGGCCUGCGCGGAAGAUGUAACGGGGCUAAACCAUGCACCGAAGCUGCGGCAGCGACACCGUGUGUUGUUGGGUAGGGGAGCGUUCUGUAAGCCUGUGAAGGUGUGCUGUGAGGCAUGCUGGAGGUAUCAGAAGUGCGAAUGCUGACAUAAGUAACGAUAAAGCGGGUGAAAAGCCCGCUCGCCGGAAGACCAAGGGUUCCUGUCCAACGUUAAUCGGGGCAGGGUGAGUCGACCCCUAAGGCGAGGCCGAAAGGCGUAGUCGAUGGGAAACGGGUUAAUAUUCCCGUACUUGGUGUUACUGCGAAGGGGGGACGGAGAAGGCUAUGUUGGCCGGGCGACGGUUGUCCCGGUUUAAGCGUGUAGGUAUGUGUUCCAGGUAAAUCCGGUUCACUUUAACACUGAGGCGUGACGACGAGGCACUACGGUGCUGAAGCAACAAAUGCCCUGCUUCCAGGAAAAGCCUCUAAGCAUCAGGUAACAUCAAAUCGUACCCCAAACCGACACAGGUGGUCAGGUAGAGAAUACCAAGGCGCUUGAGAGAACUCGGGUGAAGGAACUAGGCAAAAUGGUGCCGUAACUUCGGGAGAAGGCACGCUGACACGUAGGUGAAGUGAUUUACUCACGGAGCUGAAGUCAGCCGAAGAUACCAGCUGGCUGCAACUGUUUAUUAAAAACACAGCACUGUGCAAACACGAAAGUGGACGUAUACGGUGUGACGCCUGCCCGGUGCCGGAAGGUUAAUUGAUGGGGUCAGCGCAAGCGAAGCUCCUGAUCGAAGCCCCGGUAAACGGCGGCCGUAACUAUAACGGUCCUAAGGUAGCGAAAUUCCUUGUCGGGUAAGUUCCGACCUGCACGAAUGGCGUAAUGAUGGCCAGGCUGUCUCCACCCGAGACUCAGUGAAAUUGAACUCGCUGUGAAGAUGCAGUGUACCCGCGGCAAGACGGAAAGACCCCGUGAACCUUUACUAUAGCUUGACACUGAACAUUGAGCCUUGAUGUGUAGGAUAGGUGGGAGGCUUUGAAGUGUGGACGCCAGUCUGCAUGGAGCC